rnacentral:rRNA from 1 species
GAAGGUGUGCUGUGAGGCAUGCUGGAGGUAUCAGAAGUGCGAAUGCUGACAUAAGUAACGAUAAAGCGGGUGAAAAGCCCGCUCGCCGGAAGACCAAGGGUUCCUGUCCAACGUUAAUCGGGGCAGGGUGAGUCGACCCCUAAGGCGAGGCCGAAAGGCGUAGUCGAUGGGAAACAGGUUAAUAUUCCUGUACUUGGUGUUACUGCGAAGGGGGGACGGAGAAGGCUAUGUUGGCCGGGCGACGGUUGUCCCGGUUUAAGCGUGUAGGCUGGUUUUCCAGGCAAAUCCGGAAAAUCAAGGCUGAGGCGUGAUGACGAGGCACUACGGUGCUGAAGCAACAAAUGCCCUGCUUCCAGGAAAAGCCUCUAAGCAUCAGGUAACAUCAAAUCGUACCCCAAACCGACACAGGUGGUCAGGUAGAGAAUACCAAGGCGCUUGAGAGAACUCGGGUGAAGGAACUAGGCAAAAUGGUGCCGUAACUUCGGGAGAAGGCACGCUGAUAUGUAGGUGAAGUCCCUCGCGGAUGGAGCUGAAAUCAGUCGAAGAUACCAGCUGGCUGCAACUGUUUAUUAAAAACACAGCACUGUGCAAACACGAAAGUGGACGUAUACGGUGUGACGCCUGCCCGGUGCCGGAAGGUUAAUUGAUGGGGU